rnacentral:rRNA from 1 species
UACGUAGGUGGCAAGCGUUUGUCCGGAUUUAUUGGGUUUAAAGGGUGCGUAGGCGGCCCUGUAAGUCAGUGCUGAAAUAUCCCAGCUUAACUGGGAGGGUGGCAUUGAUACUGCGGGGCUAGAGUACAGAUGAGGUAGGCGGAAUUGACGGUGUAGCGGUGAAAUGCUUAGAUAUCGUCAAGAACACCUAUAGCGAAGGCAGCUUACUAGGCUGUAACUGACGCUGAGGCACGAAAAGUGUGGGGGAUCAAACAGGG